UUAAUACAUAUUAUUUAUAUUUAAAUAUUAUAAUAAAUUUUAUAAUAAAUUAUAUUUAAAUAUUAAAAUAAAUUAAAAUUUAAAAUUUAAAUAAAUUUAAAAUUUAAAAUAUUAUAAUAAAUUAUAUUUAAAAUUUAAAAUUUGUAAUCUCAAAAUUAAAGUUUAUAAUUUUAAAUUCCACAUUUUAAAUUUUAAAUUUGAAUUUUGAAAUUUUAAAUUUUUAAAAUUUUAAUUUUGAAAUUUUAUUUUUUUUUCAAAUUUAAAUUUGAUCUUAAAUUUAAAGUUUAAAAUUUAAAUUUUAAAAUUUUGAAUAUAAAAUUUGAGAUUUUAAAUUUAAAAUUUUAAUUUUAAAUUUUUAAAAUUUAAAAGUUAAAAUUUUAAAUUUUAAAAUAUAAAUAUAAAAUAUAAAAAUUCAAAUUCUAAUAUAAAGAAAGAAAUAAUAUUAUUAAUUUUUAUUUAUAACUACCUACUUUAAUUCUUAUUCCAUCUUAUCUAACCAAACGUUAUUUUUCUUAUUCCCAGAAAUAACCCAAUUUUCAUCCAAACGUAAAAUUGAUCUAAUCUCCGCUUGUACCUCAAUUUAUACCUAUCCCUGGAAUACCCACCUUUUGCUUAUUCCCGAACCAAACGAUACCUAAGUAUAUAUUUAAAUAGGUUGGAACUUAAAAAAGAGAUUUUUAAUAUUAUCUUUUUAAGAGGAUAAUCAGAAAGUUAAAAACUUUUCAAGGAUGUAUAAGAAAUUGCCCCUUUUUUAAAAUAUAGAAAAUGAAUAAAGCAUUGAAU
rnacentral:lncRNA from 1 species